GCGGGGCGGAGGGAGCCGGGAAGCGUCGAGCGCGCCUGGAGCGCAGCUGCGGGCCUGGGGGCGCAGGAGCCGCAGAGCCUUCCCGAGAACGGGGCUGCCGGAGCGGGCGGCCGAGACAAAGGCGACGAAAUGAAUGCCGAAUGCUUACGAAGAGAUAAAGGUUAUUUGGUACAUAUUGGUGGUCUCUGUCCUUCAGUAUCUGAGGUAUGCCAAGAUUUCUUUUUCGAACUUCAUUUUUAAGUUUGUUAAUUGUUCAUAUUAUGAUCAUUUGUUGUGUUUCUACUUUUCACAAAGUUAUUUCUCUUUUUUUAUGCUGAUUGAAGGUCUCAUUUCCAGAAAUACCAAGUUUCUGAAAUUUCAAUUUAUGAUUCUUCUACUAAUUACAGGUGUGUUUCCCAAAUUCA